rnacentral:misc_RNA from 1 species
GGCAAAUGAACAGGAGGAAGUUGAUUGAGCAUGGCACAUUACAUCUAAUGGUGCGUACACAGACAUUGAAUACACUUUUUUGCUUUCAGAAGGAACUUACUGGUAACAUUACAGAUGGUUACCUUUAUAAACUCUAUAACUUAGAGGCCAUGUGUAUAAAAGGUUUGCCUUUAGCAUCGUCUUAUUAACAUUGCACAUGAUUGAUAUGUCAAACCAUAGUUGUUGAGAUUUUAUGGCACCAUUUUUUGAAUAUAAUGGUUAGAAAUUUCUUAUGUUUUUGUGAAAGGCAUUUUCUACCGUG